rfam:Trichobilharzia regenti genome assembly, scaffold: TRE_scaffold0011071
GUACUGCUGAAGAGUCCCAAACUAGGACGAAAUAUCUGUCCAGUAG